ensembl:lncRNA
UUGGUUAUGCAAACAUCUUUUAAUAAGAAACACAAAUGUACGAUAUUGAGGAAAAUCCAAACAACACACAAAAAGGCACUUUACCAAAUUGAGAAUGUACAAACGUUGCAUCAAGCCCCUGCCUGAUACAGGAGGAGCCAUUCAUUAAACAUUAUUCUAGCCUGGUUUCCAGACUGAAUCCUUAAUUUUCACUACAGUCUACCAUAUAUUCACAACAUUAAGUUACAUGAAGUGAAACCAAGCAAUCAAGUUGGGAUCCAAGCUAACAUUCAGCAACACAGUUUCAGUUCACUGAGGUAAGGUCACGGCAAUACUAAUCGCUCAAAAUCUAAAGAUCAGUGGAACGGUAUGGAACGUCUGCCUUUUGGUACACACAAAAUGGCCGCCAAUCCACCCUUUAUGGUUAAUUAACCUGAAUAAGGAAUACCAUUCUAGGGACUCUGACAAUAGAAUCGCUUUAUUGACCCGCUGGGUCUGUUGUCAUCAGAAGGAGGGGAAAAAGAGGAGGGCUGUGAUACCUGAAAUAAAACGUCAGUCAAAAUGAUGUAGUUAAUAUAUAAAAAACACAAUCCACUAGCUGCUGCCAGACCUUCCAAAAGAAAGACGGUCUUCUUAGAAUUCCAAAACCAGAACAUUUCCAAUUCAGAUUCCGCCUAGUUGUUUAUCAGCCAUGACCUGAGGAAGAUAACAAGGCCAUUUAAGGUCAUUCAAUAGAAGCAUAAGGAGAACGCUGUGGCAACAACUCUGUUUAUAGCGCAUCACCUUUGCCCAAGGCCAUAUGGCUUAGCCGAAGGGUACUGCUCUCCCUCGGGAAAAGGGUUCCGUUUUUCAAGCAAGUGGUGACUGACAUACUAGGUGGAGCAUUUAUGUUAGAUGUUGCUUCUGGUCUGACAUGUUUUGUUUUCUCCUGGGCCCUGGAUCCAGUAAGUCAUCGGUCAGGAGCCGUGCUUUUAAAUUCUAAUCAGAAUAAUAAUCUGAAGGAUCAGUGGGGUAAAUUUGUGUUGCAUUGUCUGGUAACCCGAUGUGUGGAAUUCAUACAUUCCUUCAGUUGGUACUGAAGUGAAAUUCCCAGCGGUCAGCGACAUGGGGUGAUCCAAAACGUUAAAAACUACAGUAAACAAUCACACAAACAGAACAUCUACAUAGAGUCCUCAGUCUUCUUUUUCAAACUAGCCAUAUUUCAAAGGCCAAUACAAGACCAUCCAAAACACACGCGCGCACGCACGCACGCACGCACGCACAAUCCUUAUGAGAUCCUGUUUCAGUCUUCAAUUUUCAGCCAGCCUUUCUGAUAGUCCAGAAGCAGCUCCAGGUAGUACUGCCACUCCGGCUCAGAGUCGUACUUCACCUGGAACACAGUCUUCAGGGGGUUGGGGUGUGGCUCGUGGACCCGCACCACUUGUCCUCGGUACCACACCUCCGACCCGUUCUCCUCCUCAUAGAGAUGCUGGAUCCGCCGGCCCACCAGGUCGGGGUAGUAAAUCUUCAUGGCACGCCGCGCUCGCUGGACGGCAGAGCGGAGGACCCAGCGGCGGCGCCGGUGGUCGGAGCUGUGGCAGGCAGACAGGAAGGGGCAGUACUUGAUCUUCAAGAUAGACCUACGCAGAGAGGAGGCCAGUCGGCUGGAGGAGGUGCUGCUGGGGGGCAGGUUUGAAGAGAAACCCCCAAGACACAGGCCACGCUGGGGGAGUUUAGAGUAAACGCCCCUGGUGAGACUUCCAUCACUGGUUCUCCCCCUGGCCUCCGUCCUCUCCCCCUCUCUGGUCCUCUCCCUCCUGGCCUCCCCUUCUCCACUCCUGGCCUCCCCUUCUCCACUCUUACCAUUCUUGCACUCAUUCUCUGCUAGAGGCGGCUGCAUGUCUGCUAGAGGCGGCUGCAUGUCUGCUAGAGGCGGCUGCAUGUCUGCUAGAGGCGGGGUAAGUCUGUCCUGGUGCAGUUCAGUGUCUGAAACAGAGAUGGUCUGGUAGCGAGCCUCUUGUCCUUUACGAGCGUUGGGAAACAAAACUCUUCUCAACUUAAGGAUCAUCCCUGAAUGUCUCCUGGCCCCAAGGACCUGAGACGGACCGGAGCCAAAUGACUGGGCCUCGUCGGACAGACUGGAUGUUCUCUCUGUCUCGCUGUCACUAGGAGACGGAGAAAGUUCGUCAGAGGUUAAAGGGCACGUCCAGGGGUUAUCAGACUCCGCCUCCAGCUGUUGCAGAGCCGGGACUGAUGGCCCCUCCUCUAUGUGGUCGCUCCCCAAAGGCCCUCCGUCCUGCUCCUUCUGGUCGACAGGGCUCCUAACCAAUCUCCAGUUGACAGCCUUGUCUGUGACAGCACUUCCCACCACUCCCAGUCCCUCGCCUCCCUCUGAGACGGUGCCCCUCCUUCUCCCAAGAAAUAGACGUUUGGCACUGCUCUUCUUUCUUCCUCUCCUCACUCUCCUGUUUUGUUUAAAGUGCGAUGAUGAAGAUCCUCUUUGCUGGUCCGUUCUGCUUCCC